AGGUACCAUUCGUAAACUGCGGUUCGCCCGCGCCGUCCGCACCCACGUGACGACUGCUCGCUACGUUUUUUAUUA
rnacentral:sRNA from 1 species